rnacentral:rRNA from 1 species
AGAGUUUGAUCAUGGCUCAGGACGAACGCUGGCGGCGCGCCUAACACAUGCAAGUCGAGCGAGAACCAGGCCUUCGGGCCUGGGGAAAGCGGCGAACGGGUGAGUAACACGUGGGCAACCUGCCCUCGGCACUGGGAUAGCCCGGGGAAACCCGGAUUAAUACCGGAUGGUCUCCGAGGCCUUAGGGCACCGGAGAAAAGGUGGCUUCGGCAUCCGGCCGAGGAGGGGCCUGCGGCGGAUUAGCUUGUUGGUGGGGUAACGGCCCACCAAGGCGACGAUCCGUAGCUGGUCUGAGAGGACGAUCAGCCACACUGGGACUGAGACACGGCCCAGACUCCUACGGGAGGCAGCAGUGGGGAAUCUUGCGCAAUGGGCGAAAGCCUGACGCAGCGACGCCGCGUGCGGGAAGAAGGCCUUCGGGUUGUAAACCGCUUUCAGGAGGGACGAAGCUCCUCGGGUGAAUAGCCCAGAGGGUGACGGUACCUCCAGAAGGAGCCCCGGCUAACUACGUGCCAGCAGCCGCGGUA